UAGGGAAUUUUUCACAAUGGGCGCAAGCCUUAUGAAGCAAUGCCGCGUGAACGAUGAAGGUCUUAUAGAUUGUAAAGUUCUUUUAUAUGGGAAGAAACGCUAAGAUAGGAAAUGAUUUUAGUUUGACUGUACCAUUUGAAUAAGUAUCGGCUAACUAUGUGCCAGCAGCCGCGGUAAUACAUAGGAUGCAAGCGUUAUCCGGAUUUACUGGGCGUAAAACGAGCGCAGGCGGGUUUGUAAGUUUGGUAUUAAAUCUAGAUGCUUAACGUCUAGCUGUAUCAAAAACUGUAAACCUAGAGUGUAGUAGGGAGUUGGGGAACUCCAUGUGGAGCGGUAAAAUGCGUAGAUAUAUGGAAGAACACCGGUGGCGAAGGCGCCAACUUGGACUAUCACUGACGCUUAGGCUCGAAAGUGUGGGGAGCAAAUA
rnacentral:rRNA from 1 species